ensembl:lncRNA
GCAGACCAACUGGUCUCACCCUGUUCCAGCAGUGCCACCCAGAGCAGCACUCAGCACCACUUCCAUUCAGCUUUUGGAGGUUCACAGGGAGGAGAUCCCACAGCCUCUCUGGGUAUCUGUGCCAUGCUUCAUCACCUGCACAACAUAGAAGUGCUUCCUGAUGUUCAGGGGGAACCUCAUCUGUUCCAGUUUGUGUCUAUUACGUCUUCUCCUGAUACUGGACACCACUGCAGAGCCAGGCACCAUGCUCUCUGCAACUUUCCCUCAGCACAGCAUCAGAAGUGGUGUCUCACUGAUGGUGACUAUGCAGCUUCUUGUCAGCUUGAAGCAUGAGUCAGCUCACAUGUUCAUGCAGAAGAUGUUGAAGCAUGUUGUUCUCCAUCAUCACUGACCCUCAGAAACAGGAGUGCAGUCAUAUCAACCUCAAUCAUGCAAACACCAUCCUUGGAAAGACUCCAGAAGGACAUCAUUAAUGGGCAACGGAAGAGCCACUGAUGUCAUCUAUUUGGACUUCAGUAAGGCCUUUGACAUGGUACCCCACAAUAUCCUGCUCUCCAAAUUGGAAAGACAUGAAUUUGAUGGGUGGGCUGUUCAAUGGACAAAGAAUUCGCUGCAGGAUAGAGUCCAGAGAGUGGUGAUCAAUGGCUCCAUGUCUGGAUGGAGAGAGAACUUUCAGUGAAGACUGAAACUACAGAACUACUGUGAGCGAGAAACUCAUAGACUGUCAAGCUUUAUUCUGAGACAUCCAGAGCUUUUAUGCUUGGUCCUCUUCAUCAGCAGAGCUAUUAUCUUCCACUGCUGCUGUCUGUAUGCUCUACAGUUUUCUUCCUUAUUAGGAGGGUUCAUUUUUAGGAAUGAAUCUGUAAAGUUGACUGUUUUUGCAUCAAGAUUCCACCUAUAGAGGAAAGUGCAAUUUUCCACAGAAACUUUGAAGACAUGCAAGUUUUUCAAGAGAAUGCAAUUUUCAGUAAAGAAUUGGUUUCCUCACUGAAAUGGAUUCCUGUGACAGUCUGUGUUAACAUUGAUUGCAUUUGAUUAUAUGCUGAUUUUAACAAAAGCUCACAUUUCAGAGGAAAAAAUAUUGCCAAUGAAAAAAAUGUUAACCAGCUUUGGCAGUAGGCAGAGCAAUCUAUUUUCUUGUAGCUUCUGGCUGCCUUUCAGGCUAUAUUAUGCCUUCUUUGUACCACUUGAACACACUAAAUUCUAGAAAAGUACCCGUGUCCUGCAGUAAUAUCAAAGCACAGAGCACAUAAAGGAAAUAACAUAAAAUGAUUUUAAAAAUAAAAUAAAAAUUACCUCUCACUUAAAUUGCUUUUUAUUUUAAUAGUAGAUCAUUAAGUUAAUUUUCAAAAAUGCAAAGGGAAGAAAAAUGCCUUUCAAACUCUCUGUGCCUGUCUCCAACUUCUUUCAGUCACUGAUGUUCUCUUC